rnacentral:tRNA from 1 species
GGGGAUGAAGCUCAGUGGUCAAGUACUUGCCCAGCAUGAGCAAGGCUUUGGGUUCAAUCCCCAGCAACCCUU